UACAGAGGGGGCGAGCGUUAUUCGGAAUUAUUGGGCGUAAAGGGCGCGUAGGCGGCUUUUCAAGUGACGGGUGAAAUCCCUCGGCUUAACCGAGGAACUGCCUGUCAGACUGGAAGGCUUGAGACCGGGAGAGGUGAGUGGAAUUCCCAGUGUAGCGGUGAAAUGCGUAGAUAUUGGGAGGAACACCAGUGGCGAAGGCGGCUCACUGGACCGGAACUGACGCUGAGGCGCGAAAGCGUGGGGAGCAAAAAGG
rnacentral:rRNA from 1 species